rnacentral:rRNA from 1 species
UACUAGCUGUCCGAGUCGCAACCAUCUUUAUUGGGUCUAAAACAUCCGUAGCUUGUUUAGCAAGUUCCUUGUGAAAUCCGGCAUCUUAAGUGUCGGGCGCGCAAGGAGUACUACUAGGCUAGAGACUGGAAGACGUAAGAAGUACGUUUGAAGUAGCGGUUAAAUGCGUUAAUCUUAGACGGACUCACAACAGCGAAGGCAUCUUACGAGGACAGUUCUGACAGUGAGGGAUGAAGGCCGGGGGCGCAAAACGG